rnacentral:rRNA from 1 species
CGCAUCUGUGCAUGCAGCAUAUCAAUAAGCGGAGGAAAAGAAACUAACAAGGAUUCCCCUAGUAACGGCGAGUGAAGCGGGAAGAGCUCAAAUUUGAAAUCUUAAAGGGUUUCCCUUUACGAAUUGUAGUUUAAAGAAGUGUUUUCUGUUGAGGUUUUGGUAAAAGUUCUUUGGAAUAGGACAUCAUAGAGGGUGAGAAUCCCGUAUUUGACCUUUACUUUCAACUUUGUGAUACACUUUCAAAGAGUCGGAUUGUUUGAGAAUGCAGUCCAAAAUGGGUGGUAAAUUUCAUCUAAAGCUAAAUAUUGGCGAGAGACCGAUAGCGAACAAGUACCGCUGAGGGAAAGAUGAAAAGAACUUUGAAAAGAGAGUUAAACAGUACGUGAAAUUGUCAAAAGGGAAGCGUUUGACACCAGUGUUGUUUUUCUGAAAAUCAAUUAAAGAACUGUUUAUGCUAAGCUGUUUAGACUUUAUCAGCUAAUCUGUUUAGUUUUGAGCUUUUCUUUAAUGCACUUUUCAGUUAACAAGUCAACAUCAAUUUCUUUUGCUGUAAAAAAGCUUGAGGAAGGUGGCUUGAGAUUCGUCUUAAGUGUUUAUAGCCUCUUGCCUAUGCAGUCGGAGAGAUUGAGGUCUGCAGCGUAGAUCCUUCGGGGCUAAAUGCAUUUGUGCUAAGUUAUAACAUUUCAUAGACAACUUGUUGACUAUGAUUUGUCUUGUAGCUUACUCGCUUAUGUUAUUUUACCUACGCUUAGGAUGUUGACAGCAGUAUAGACUGU